rnacentral:rRNA from 1 species
UACGUAGGGGGCAAGCGUUGUCCGGAUUUAUUGGGCGUAAAGCGCUCGCAGGUGGUUCAUUGCGUCGUGCGUGAAAGACCCCGGCUCAACUGGGGAGGGUCGUGCGAAACGGGUGAACUAGAGGCCAGUAGGGGGAUACGGAAUUCCGGGUGUAGUGGUGGAAUGCGUAGAGAUCCGGAGGAACACCAGCGGCGAAGGCGGCAUCCUGGACUGGUCCUGACACUCAGGAGCGAAAGCGUGGGGAGCGAGUCCGG